GACUUGGCCACCCAUGCAGUGAAAUAAUCCCCAAGAAAUGCACUGCUUGGAAUGGAAAUGAAAAGAAAGUGAACAGUCAGUCAUUCCAGGGCAUCUACUAAAUAUUACUGACAGUCAUUCAGUCUAAAGUUUGCCUGAUUCUUAACACUGCAAAUCUCAGAUUUGGGAUGUAUUACAUAGAUCACAGGAAACAGUUGACAACAAGCAGUUGGAGCCCUGUUGCUGUCAAGCUCCGGGUCGUAAGCAUGGGACCCUGGAUGAGAAGAAAGAAGCAACAUUCAACUGUACGAUGGCCUACACUUUUUGACCCAUCGGAGACUCACGUGAAUAAAGAAAAGCAGAAUUUCG